GACGAACGCUGGCGGCGUGCUUAACACAUGCAAGUCGAACGGAAAGGCCCUGCUUGCCGGGUACUCGAGUGGCGAACGGGUGAGUAACACGUGGGUGAUCUGCCCUGCACUUCGGGAUAAGCUUGGGAAACUGGGUCUAAUACCGGAUAGGACCGCACUUUAGUGUGUGUGGUGGAAAGUUUUUUCGGUGUAGGAUGAGCUCGCGGCCUAUCAGCUUGUUGGUGGGGUAAUGGCCUACCAAGGCGGCGACGGGUAGCCGGCCUGAGAGGGUGUACGGCCACAUUGGGACUGAGAUACGGCCCAGACUCCGACGGGAGGCAGCAGUGGGGAAUAUUGCACAAUGGGCGCAAGCCUGAUGCAGCGACGCCGCGUGGGGGAUGAAGGCCUUCGGGUUGUAAACUCCUUUCGCUAGGGACGAAGCUUUUUGUGACGGUACCUAGAUAAGAAGCACCGGCUAACUACGUG
rnacentral:rRNA from 1 species